rnacentral:misc_RNA from 1 species
AGGCACCUGAAAUUAAUAAAGAAAAUUUAUCAUUAUGAAAAAUGUAUGCUGUCUAUGUUAUAUACUGUAGAAGCAGAAAUAUUCGUUGAGGAUUUAAUUUCGUUAUUUUCGUUCAAUGAAUUUAUCUCCAUGACAAAUUUCGAACCCAAAUACUCAUAAAUACGGAGUUGAUAUGUGAUAUAAUAAUAUUUUAGAGAUUAUGAUAUGACAUAAAAUCCCAACAAAAUUUUAUUUGGUUUAAAAAUCAAUGAAAUUUUAACCCAAUGAAUAUACAUGUAUGUGCUUCUAUAGUAUUUAUGGCAAAAAAUAUAAAAUGCCAGGUGCCUCUGCCAAGUUCUAUAAAUGAUUCAAGGUCAAAAAUAAACAAGUUACUAUAGCCUCCUUAUACAGCUGGACUGUAUGUUUGCAUGUGUACUCCAAUCUGCAUGAAGUAGAGAAAUAAAUUGGAAUGAAGCCUAUAUAAAGGUAUUAAUACUCUAUUCAUUUUACUGAAAUCCAUGUCAUUUGAAUCCAAUAUGUAUUCUGCUACUUUACAUGCUAUUAAGAACAAAAAAGUAUUGUGAAAAUAUCCAUUAAAGGAUGAAAUUUGUUGUC